rnacentral:tRNA from 1 species
GCGGCCGUAGCUCAAUUGGUUAGAGCACUGCCCUGUCACGGCAGGGGUUACCGGUUCGAGUCCGGCCGGCCGCG